AAUUGAGAGCCCAAAUCAAUGAUAGAACCCGAAUUGUCAACCAUCUAAGCUCGAACAUCAAUAGGCGUGAAGGAAGAAAGCUCGAACACUAGUAAAGCGGGAGGUGUACAAGAUCGAGGUAAAACUCC